rnacentral:lncRNA from 1 species
AUCUCCGCUCGCCUAAAAACUUCAACAUUGAAGUUAACAAUGGUCCAUUGGCGAGAAGGUUAGACAGAAUGGGGAUGUUAAUGUUGAAAAUACUGAAGUAACAGGUAAUCAGGGUAAAUAUAAUGAAUGCUUUAGAGCUUAAUAGAUGGGAACUCUUGCUUAUGAUCCAACUUCAAUAUCUUGUUCCCUUUCUUGCAGCUAUUUCCUAACGGACGAGUUUUUCUACCAUUUUCUUCCAUAAUUUUUCAAUAUGAACUUGCUGUAGCAUGAUAAUCUGAACUCUAUUUUUUGGUAAUUUUUGAAUCUUAAUGACAACCUUAAGUGACUUAAUUGUUCCAGCACUGGGCCAUAUGGAUGUAAGAUUAUGCCUAUUAAGGAUAAAGUGGUUGUGCUAGAGGAAUCCCUUGCAAGGAUAGUGGUCCAGUUUUGUUUUGGAGGGUUGAGAGAGAGAGAGAGAGAGAGAGAGGAGAGACCUAAUAUAAGAUAGAGAUAGGUUAUAAUAGCUGAUUUAGCAACUUGUUUUUUGACAAUUAAUAUUACUCUCGACAAGAAUAGUGACAAAGGAUCUGCGAACGUGGUCUAAAGAGAGAUGGUAGGGCUUGGUUGCUUAUGUUAAUCAAAUCCGAAGAUUUGGAUAAUUACUUUUAGGAAUUUAACAGAAUGACUGCAUAAAGAGAAAUAUGAACCUGCUCGAUCUAUCAGGAUCUAUUGUUAAUUGGUAAACCAAAGAACUUUUUUUUUCUCUUACAGGGUUUUAGGUUGUCCUAGUCUCAUAGUUUUGGAAAAAUACAAAUCCUGACUGCUGUGUGGAAUCUAUAUCUCCAAAAUGAUAUCUGUUACGGGGGAACUUAGCC